GUGAGGAACACUGCAGUUGACGUUUUACUGUCGUUCUUUUCUUUUUUGUAGCUAAUUAUUUUUGCUUCGAUUCAAAGAAACCCAUGUUGUGAUUUUAUUGUAUUUCAUCAAUAAAUGUCAUAUUUUGUUCAGUGAUUCCACUGUGUCUGUAGUAUUUCUCUCUACUAGUCCCUUUACAGUGAUGUAUUUACGUGUAGUACCAUAUUGAAACAUGUAUCACAUAUUUUAUACUACAUUAUUUAAUGAUUGUACGAACAACUACACAGUGAAACUAUCGGUAUUUUGUGUGUGGGUGAUCUAAAUGAAUGUUCCUAUGGUAUUUCAUGAUUAAUUAGUUAUUUGAACCAAUGAUUCUGCAAGUGCAAGGUUUAUUUAAAGAUAUGAAUCCACAAUGCAAUGUUUUGAACAUUGGACAGCCUGUGUUACAAGCGAUGACCGUUUUGAAAAAUGACCACAAGGUUCUGAAAUUAGUGCCAAAGCGAUUGUAAAAAACUGUAAGUAAGGCCAUUCUACUGCCAAUGUUUGUCUAUGGAGAUUGCAUGGCGGGGUUCUCGACUUUAUACACCUGUCAGCAAAGGGUGUGGCUGAAAUAGUCAAAUCCCCUAAUUUGGCCAUGUAGUGUAUAACAAGCGUGUUUGUGUGUGUGUGUGUGUGUGUGUGUGUGUGUGUGUGUGUGUGUGUGUGUGUGUGUGUGUGUGUGUGUGUGUGUGUGUGUGUGUGUGUGUGUGUGUGUGUGUGUGUGUGUGUGUGUGUGUGUGUGUGCGUGGAGUCAGUGUAAAAAAAUAUAUAUAUAAACUUGGGGAUAGAAGCUGUUCAGCAGUCUGAUGGCUUGGGGGUAGAAGCUGUUCAGCAGUCUGAUGGCUUGGGGGUAGAAGCUGUUCAGCAGUCUGAUGGCUUGGGGGUAGAAGCUGUUCAGCAGUCUGAUGGCUUGGGGGUAGAAGCUGUUCAUCGGUCUGAUGGCUUGGGGGUAGAAGCUGUUCAGCAGUCUGAUGGCUUGGGGGUAGAAGCUGUUCAGCAGUCUGAUGGCUUGGGGGUAGAAGCUGUUCAGCAGUCUGAUGGCUUGGGGGUAGAAGCUGUUCAGCAGUCUGAUGGCUUGGGGGUAGAAGCUGUUCAGCAGUCUGAUGGCUUGGGGGUAGAAGCUGUUCAGCAGACUGGUGGCUUGGGGGUAGAAGCUGUUCGGGAGCCUUUUGGUCCCACAUUUGGCACUCUGGUACCGUUCGUUGUGCAGUAGCAAAAUAACUGUCUAUAGCUUAGGUGGCUGGAGUCUGACACCGCCUGAUAUAGAGGUCCCAGUGAUGUACUGGGCCAUAUUCACUACCUUCUGUAGAAGAGCCAAGGACUCACAUUAUACUGUAGUCCUCAGAGAGAGAGAGAGAGAGAGAGAGAGAGAGACCUCUUCUGUUCUGUUCUGUUUGGGGGACGAGCUGUGUCAGUCUGCCCGCCUGAUGUUAAAGUGCUUAAGGCAGUAGGUCUAUGACUGCUACAUGUUAGGACGGCAGUAAUGUAGUCUAGACAGUCUUCUGGUAGGUCUAUGACUGCUACAUGUUAGGACGGCAGUAAUGUAGUCUAGACAGUCUUCCGGUAGGUCUAUGACUGCUACAUGUUAGGACGGCAGGAAUGUAGUCUAGACAGUCUUCUGGUAGGUCUAUGACUGCUACAUGUUAGGACGGCAGUAAUGUAGUCUAGACAGUCUUCUGGUAGGUCUAUGACUGCUACAUGCAGUCUUCUGGUAGGUCUAUGACUGCUACAUGUUAGGACAGCAGUAAUGUAGUCUAGACAGUCUUCUGGUAGGUCUAUGACUGCUACAUGUUAGGACGGCAGUAAUGUAGUCCAGACAGUCUUCUGGUAGGUCUAUGACUGCUACAUGUUAGGACAGCAGUAAUGUAGUCCAGACAGUCUUCCGGUAGGCGUGUAAAUUGCUCAUGCGUGUAAAUGACAUGUCGUCACUGUGGUACUGUGUUCUAGUCUAGUUAGAGAGCGUCUUGCUUUGUAAUGUUUUAUAAUGAUCUCCUGCACUAACAUGGCUCCAGGCUGCCCAGUGGAGAGUAACAUGGCUCCAUGCUGCCCAGUGGAGAGUAACAUG
rnacentral:lncRNA from 1 species